AGUGAAGACACUGGGGCGUACGGCCGUGACAUUGGGGUCAAUCUUCCAAUUUUAUUAAAUGCAAUUGUUGCUGAGCUUCCUCCUGAUGCAAGCACAAUGCUUCGGAUUGGGAUGACAAAUCCUCCUUUCAUUCUUGAGCACUUGAAAGAGAUAGCAAAUGUCUUGUCUCAUCCAUGUGUAUACUCCUUUUUGCAUGUGCCAGUUCAAUCCGGAAGCGACACAAUCUUAAGUGCAAUGAAUCGAGAAUAUACAGUCAGUGAGUUCAGGACUGUAGUAGAUACCUUAACUGAGCUUGUUCCUGGGAUGCAGGUUGCAACUGAUAUAAUAUGUGGAUUUCCCGGGGAAACCGAU
rnacentral:misc_RNA from 1 species